rnacentral:rRNA from 1 species
UACGGAGGGUGCGAGCGUUGUCCGGAAUCACUGGGCGUAAAGGGCGCGUAGGCGGCGCGAGUAGUCAACGGUGAAAGCCCGGGCUCAACCCCGGGUCGGCCGUCGAUACUCUCGUGCUUGAGCACUGUAGAGGCAGGUGGAAUUCCGGGUGUAGCGGUGGAAUGCGUAGAGAUCCGGAAGAACACCGGUGGCGAAGGCGGCCUGCUGGCAGUAGCUGACGCUGAGGCGCGACAGCGUGGGAGCAACAGG